UACGAGUUUGAUCCUGGCUCAAGAACGAACGCUGGCGGCAGGCCUAACACAUGCAAGUCGAGCGCCCCGCAAGGGGAGCGGCGGACGGGUGAGUAACGCGUGGGAACGUACCCUUUGCUACGGAAUAGCCUCGGGAAACUGGGAGUAAUACCGUAUGUGCCCUUCGGGGGAAAGAUUUAUCGGCAAAGGAUCGGCCCGCGUUGGAUUAGGUAGUUGGUGGGGUAAUGGCCUACCAAGCCGACGAUCCAUAGCUGGUUUGAGAGGAUGAUCAGCCACACUGGGACUGAGACACGGCCCAGACUCCUACGGGAGGCAGCAGUGGGGAAUCUUAGACAAUGGGCGCAAGCCUGAUCUAGCCAUGCCGCGUGAGCGAUGAAGGCCUUAGGGUUGUAAAGCUCUUUCAGUGGGGAAGAUAAUGACUGUACCCACAGAAGAAGCCCCGGCUAACUCCGUG
rnacentral:rRNA from 1 species